UAAACAAAAUUUGACCCGUUUCUAAUUCCUCCUUUGCUGUUUCUCACACCCUAAAAUGAUCUUCUCUUUCGUCCGUGAAAUUGAACAGGCCCUCCAUGGAAGCACAAAUCGGUCUUCUUUCUUCUCGCAAUCGAUGGGGCAAGAAAUCCUUACCAAGAUAAGUUUCGCAAUCUUCAAACAGGUUAUUGAUGUCCAAUGUUUUCAAUCGACCUUCAAUCUUCAAUACAGGUUAUCGAUCUAGGUUGUGGAUUUGGAACUCUGGUGACUUUGCAACUUCCAGAUACCCAAUCGUUUUUCUUUCUUCUAGAGCCUGUCACAGUCAUAGUUCUGAACCCUAAUACCCAGCAGUUUCCUCUCAUCUAUACUACACCCUCCAUCUCCAAACACCACCUCCACUUCGCCGGUCACCCACCCUCAUCAAGCACCAGCCGUCGCCACCACUCACACGAUCCAUCUCCGUCGCCGGUCACCCACCACCGUACCCAAUCGUCGUCGGACACCUCUUCUGCCGCACACAGUCAUCAUCACCGGCAGGUCGCCGGCUUGAACCACCACCCUUCUUCGUCGCAGUCAUCAGCAGUUCGGUUGACAUGGCUUUAUAGGAAUUGAACCCCAAAUCCUGGGGCCGGAGAAUCGCUUCAGGUGUCCUGAUUUGUGUCAUCAGUGACAUUGAUUUAAGUGCCCUUCAUGACUGUUUCAUUUAUCACAUUUGUAGCAGGGCUCCAUUACUACCCAUUUCAACAGUGAUUCAUUGCCUCACAAAUUGUUUCUCAAGUUGAAUGAGGGCCAAUGGAAGUCACCAGUCCAACCCAAUGUUUAUUCAAAAUAGUGUCGUGUGUCCGCUGCAUCACACGAGUCUGUUGUGUAACGGGUCAAACGGUGAAAAGGCGCCUCUCAGGGCGCAACGCGAAAGCUGCGCUAGGCUAUGCUUCAGCGCCUAAGGUGCUUUUGACAUUAUACGUUUAUCUCAAAUUUUAGUUAUGAAAUUUCUGACUGAAAACUUCAUCUAAAGUUUAAGCUGAUGUGCUCAAAUGUUGUGAGUUCUUAUUGACUUUAUAAAGUAACAACGUAAAGUGCUUUUUGGGAUAAAAUUCAGAAUCAAGAGACUAAAGUCAAUAUGGAAUAGAGCCAUGGUGGUGAUAACCUUUAUCGUUCUCAAAUUAUGUCCGACUCAUGUUUACUCCUGUGGAACAACCACCAAUGUACAUUGUGUUUAGUGAAUGACUGUUUUGGAAUUUCUAGAAUCUCAAAACCUUAAUUGAUUUCAUUUUGUUUCAAGGAGAUUUCGAGUUGCGGAAAGUUCAAGACCACAAAACGAGUUUGAGUUUUUUUAUUUCUUUUCGAAUUCAUGUACGAUGUUUUGAAUUCAUGCUAUAAAUCUACAUAUAUUACAUCCUCUUGCUUACAUAAUACCUCUUCCUUUCUAAAUUGGCCCAUGUUGAGUGGUACUCACAAUAUACAACGCCUCCUGCUUUGUUUGGUUAAGAUACUUUAUAAAUGCCAUAUGAGUUUUUUGAUUAAUUAAUGGUAGCAGCUACUUUAAAACAAGAUAUUCUUUUCAGCAACACAUGAGUUUUUAUGAAACAAUGAAGAAAGACACGACUACUGAUUUGAGUCAUUGAGGCCUUGAGUUCUAUUUAUGCUUGGCAGCCAUAUUUGAAAUUAUCUUGUAGAGUUGCAACUUGCAAGACGAGCGGGUCUGAUUGGUUGGUUAAUGGGUCGAAACGGGUUUAAGGUAAAACAUGUCAUUUUAACAUUGGUUAAAGUUAAACGGGGUAGGCUGGUGGGUUGACCCGUAUAACAUUUAAUGUCCAUUGUUAGAACUUUUAUGAAUAAUUAAUAAUAUCCUAAAUCUAUAAAUAAAAUGCUUCAGGAGCUUUUAUGCCUAACAAGUAGACUUUUGGUACCGUUAAACCCAUUCGACAUGUUGUACCAAUUUGAUCUGGUUUUUAUUCGACUUCUUUGGAUAAAAAAAACACUAAGUGGAUUGACCCUUUAUAAGUAAAAAUCACAACCUCCACUUUUACUACAGCUGGUUUUGGAUCUAAAUUGCCACAUCUACCAUUUUGUUUCAUCUCUUCAAUCUCUUUUUGCUAAUUAUUUAUUUUCUUGUGUGAUUAUAUACAAAAUGCAACCUUCAAGAGACUAUUUAGACUAGAGGGCAUAAUCCCAGCUUUGAAAACAUCACAUGCACUUACUUAUUUGGAGAAACUAUGCCCCACCAAAGGGUAUAUAAGAGAGCUUGACCAUCUGCGUGGUCUGCUUAUGCAGAUUCGGAUUCAGAAGAAACAGUUGACAGUGACCCACAUGAAAGUCAGUUGGCUGGUGAUGGGAUUGGGCAUGACGGUGGCAUGCGUUAGCAAAAGUUUGGUCUAUGUGUUAUCCAAUAAGAUAGGAAGGCGUGCGAGAGUUUAUGCGUUUUUCCUUUUUCUGUUUUAUGUUUUUUUUCUUCGAAGACAUCUUUUUUCACUUCUUUUUGGCCGGCAAGUUUUGCCAAGGAAACAACUUAUGGUCCAUGGUUUAAUAAAGUUUAAGCACGCCCCUUUGUAGGCGUAUUGUCU